rnacentral:rRNA from 1 species
UGGAGGACCGAACCGGUAAACGUUGAAAAGUUUUCGGAUGACCUGUGGGUAGGGGUGAAAGGCCAAUCAAACUUGGAGAUAGCUCGUACUCCCCGAAAUGCAUUUAGGUGCAGCGUCGGGUUGAGGUGUCAUGGAGGUAGAGCUACCAAUAGGGCUAGGGGGCUUCACCGCCUACCAACCCCUGAUGAACUCCGAAUGCCAUGACAUCAUACCGGCAGUGAGGCUACGGGUGCUAAGGUCCGUAGCCGAGAGGGGAACAACCCAGACCAACAGCUAAGGUCCCCAAAUAGAUAUUAAGUUGAUUUUAACGAUGUGAGGAUGCAGUGACAGCUAGGAUGUUUGCUUGGAAGCAGCAAUUCAUUUAAAGAGUGCGUAACAGCUCACUAGUCGAGCGUUCUUGCGCGGAAAAUAAUCGGGCAUCAAAUAUCUUACCGAAGCUUUGGAUACCAGUCUAGGACUGGUGGUGGUAGGGGAGCAUUCUAAACUGCAGUGAAGGUGUGUCGUGAGAUGCGCUGGAGUGUUUAGAAAAGCAAAUGUAGGAAUGAGUAACGAUAAAAUAGGUGAGAAACCUAUUCGCCGUAAGACUAAGGAUUCCGGGAUCUAUGUUAAUCAGAACCGGGUUAGUCGGGGCCUAAGGUGUAGCCGAAGGGCGAAGCCGAUGGGAAACAGGUUAAUAUUCCUGUACAUGUAUCAGCUGUGAUGGGGUGACGAAGGAGCGUAAGGUUCGCCCACUGACGGAAUAGUGGGUUGAAGGGAGAAGGCGUUGAAGAUAUAGGCAAAUCCGUAUCUGAGCUGAGACCUGAUAGUACACAAGUCCCUUGGGAUGAGUGAUAGUGACUGUAAGCAUACUUCCAAGAAAAACCUCUAAACUUCAGGCUGACACAUCCCGUACCGUAAACCGACACAGGUAGUCGAGGAGAGUAUCCUAAGGCGCUCGAGUGAUCCGUGGCUAAGGAACUAGGCAAAAUGGUCUCGUAACUUCGGGAGAAGAGACUCCCCUCGUGAGAGGGGACGCAGUGAAGAGGCCCAGGCGACUGUUUAACAAAAACACAGGACUCUGCAAAAUCGUAAGAUGAAGUAUAGGGUCUGACACCUGCCCGGUGCUGGAAGGUUAAGGAAGGGGGUUAGUGCGUAAGUGCGAAGCUCUUAACUGAAGCCCCAGUAAACGGCGGCCGUAACUAUAACGGUCCUAAGGUAGCGAAAUUCCUUGUCGGGUAAGUUCCGACCUGCACGAAUGGUGUAACGAUCUGGGCGCUGUCUCAGCCACGAGCUCGGUGAAAUUGAAGUAUCGGUGAAGAUGCCGAUUACC